CAGGUUUACCUGUGUGACUGCGUACCUUUUGUAUAAUGGGUCAGCGACUUAUAUUCUGUAGCAAGGUUAACCGCAUAGGGGAGCCGCAGGGAAACCGAGUCUUAACCGGGCGUUAAGUUGCAGGGUAUAGACCCGAAACCCGGUGAUCUAGCCAUGGGCAGGUUGAAGGUUGGGUAACACUAACUGGAGGACCGAACCGACUAAUGUUGAAAAAUUAGCGGAUGACCUGUGGCUGGGGGUGAAAGGCCAAUCAAACCGGGAGAUAGCUGGUUCUCCCCGAAAGCUAUUUAGGUAGCGCCUCGUGAACUCAUCUCCGGGGGUAGAGCACUGUUUCGGCUAGGGGGCCAUCCCGGCUUACCAACCCGAUGCAAACUGCGAAUACCGGAGAAUGUUAUCACGGGAGACACACGGCGGGUGCUAACGUCCGUCGUGAAGAGGGAAACAACCCAGACCGCCAGCUAAGGUCCCAAAGUCAUGGUUAAGUGGGAAACGAUGUGGGAAGGCCCAGACAGCCAGGAUGUUGGCUUAGAAGCAGCCAUCAUUUAAAGAAAGCGUAAUAGCUCACUGGUCGAGUCGGCCUGCGCGGAAGAUGUAACGGGGCUAAACCAU
rnacentral:rRNA from 1 species